GCGGGGCCCCUCGCUGGAGAGCCAAACAGGAAGGACUGCCCCCUAAGCGCCGGGCUCUGGGUCAGGGAAUCGCCGCCGCCGCAGAGCUGCAGCUCCGGGCCGAGGGUAGGGAGGCAAGCACGGAGCGGGCGGCCUGGGAGGGCUCCGCGGGUCCCUGCGCCCGGUCGCCAGCCGCGCCCCGGCCCCGGGACCGUCGCCGCCGCCUCUGGCCUCGGCUCGCUCUCCGCCCACCUUCCCUGGUUCGCCACUGCGGGCGGUCUGCGGCCGCCGCGAUGAAGGCGAGCUCGGGGGACCAGGGGAGCCCCCCGUGCUUCCUGCGCUUCCCGCGGCCCGUGCGGGUGGUAAGUGGCGCCGAGGCCGAGCUCAAGUGCGUGGUCCUGGGGGAGCCGCCGCCCGUCGUGGUGUGGGAAAAGGGCGGGCAGCAGCUGGCGGCCUCGGAACGCCUGAGCUUCCCGGCGGACGGCGCGGAGCACGGCCUGCUGCUGAGCGGCGCGCUGCCCACCGACGCGGGGGUCUACGUGUGCCGCGCCCGCAACGCGGCCGGAGAGGCCUACGCGGCGGCCGCCAUCACCGUGCUGGAGCCGCCGGCCUCCGAGCCCGAUCCGCAGCCCGCCGAGCGCCCGCUGCCGCCGCCGGGGCCCGGGGAGGGCGCCCCGGUCUUCCUGACGGGGCCGCGGUCCCAGUGGGUGCUGCGGGGGGCGGAGGUGGUGUUGACGUGCCGGGCGGGGGGCCUCCCCGAGCCCACGCUGUACUGGGAGAAGGACGGGAUGGCGCUGGACGAAGUGUGGGACAGCAGCCACUUCGCGCUCGAGCCUGGCCGUGCCGAGGACGGCCCGGGCGUGAGCCUGGCGCUGCGCAUCCUGGCGGCGCGGCUGCCGGACUCCGGCGUCUACGUGUGCCACGCCCGCAACGCGCACGGCCACGCGCAGGCUGGCGCGCUGCUCCAGGUGCAGCAGCCCCCCGAGAGCCCGCCCGCAGACCCCGACGAGGGCCCAGCGCCAGUGGUGGAGCCGCUCAAGUGCGCGCCCAAGACCUUCUGGGUGAACGAGGGCAAGCACGCCAAGUUCCGUUGCUACGUGAUGGGCAAGCCCGAGCCCGAGAUCGAAUGGCACUGGGAGGGCCUCCCGCUGCUCCCGGACCGCCGCCGCCUCAUGUACCGCGACCGCGACGGCGGCUUCGUGCUCAAGGUGCUCUACUGCCAGGCCAAGGACCGCGGGCUCUACGUCUGCGCCGCGCGCAACUCGGCGGGCCAGACGCUCAGCGCAGUGCAGCUGCACGUGAAAGAGCCCCGCCUCCGGUUCACAAGGCCCCUGCAGGAUGUGGAGGGCCGUGAGCACGGGAUUGCCGUGCUGGAGUGUAAAGUACCCAACUCCCGCAUCCCCACGGCCUGGUUCCGAGAGGACCAGCGGCUGCUGCCCUGCCGCAAGUACGAGCAGAUCGAAGAGGGCACCGUCCGGCGCCUCAUCAUCCACAGGCUGAAGGCAGAUGACGACGGUGUCUAUCUGUGCGAGAUGCGGGGCCGGGUGCGCACCGUGGCCAAUGUCACAGUCAAAGGGCCCAUCCUGAAGCGCCUGCCCCGGAAGCUCGAUGUCCUGGAGGGAGAGAAUGCAGUGCUGCUGGUGGAAACUCUAGAGGCUGGGGUCCAGGGACGGUGGAGUCGUGAUGGAGAGGAGCUGCCGGCCAUUUGCCAGACCACCUCGGGCCACAUGCAUGCGCUGGUCCUUCCAGGGGUCACCCGAGAAGAUGCUGGCGAGGUCAUCUUUAGCCUGGGCAACUCCCGUACCACUGCGCUGCUCAGAGUCAAAUGCGUCAAGCACAGUCCCCCAGGGCCCCCCGUGUCGGCUGAGAUGUUCAAGGGCCAGAAGAACACAGUCCUGCUGACCUGGAAGCCUCCCGAGCCUGCUCCUGAGACCCCAUUCAUCUACCGGCUGGAGCGGCAGGAAGUGGGCUCUGAAGACUGGAUUCAGUGCUUCAGCAUCGAGAAAGCCGGAGCCGUGGAGGUGCCGGGCGACUGUGUGCCCUCCGAGGGUGACUACCGCUUCCGCAUCUGCGCAGUCAGCGGACAUGGUCGCAGUCCUCACGUGGUGUUCCAUGGUUCUGCUCACCUUGUGCCCACAGCUCGCCUGGUGGCAGGUCUGGAAGAUGUGCAGGUAUACGACGGGGAAGAUGCCGUCUUCUCCCUCGAUCUCUCCACCAUCAUCCAGGGUACCUGGUUCCUUAAUGGGGAAGAGCUCAAGAGUCACAAGCCGGAGGGCCAGGUGGAACCUGGGGCCCUGCGGUACCAUGUGGAGCAGAAAGGCCUGCAGCACAGACUCAUCCUGCAUGCCGUCAAGCACCAGGACAGCGGGGCCCUGGUCGGCUUCAGCUGCCCCGGCGUGCAGGACUCAGCUGCCCUCACCAUCCAAGAGAGCCCGGUGCACAUCCUGAGCCCCCAGAACAAGGUGUCAUUGACCUUCACAACCUCAGAUCGGGUGGUGCUGACCUGUGAGCUCUCGAGGGUGGACUUCCCAGCGACGUGGUACAAGGAUGGGCAGAAGGUGGAGGAGAGUGAGCUGCUGGUGGUGAAGAUGGAUGGGCGCAAACACCGUCUGAUCCUGCCCGAGGCCAAAGUUCAGGACAGUGGCGAGUUUGAGUGCAGGACAGAAGGGGUCUCAGCCUUCUUCUACGUCACUGUCCAAGAUCCCCCCGUGCACAUCGUGGACCCCCGAGAGCAUGUGUUCGUGCAUGCCAUAACCUCCGAGUGUGUCAUGCUGGCCUGCGAGGUGGACCGAGAGGACGCCCCUGUGCGUUGGUACAAGGAUGGGCAGGAGGUGGAGGAGAAUGACUUCGUGGUGCUGGAGAGUGAGGGGCCCCAUCGCCGCCUGGUGCUGCCUGCCACUCAGCCCUCAGAUGGGGGCGAGUUUCAGUGUGUCGCCGGAGACGAGCGUGCCUACUUCACCGUCACCAUCACAGAUGUCUCCUCGUGGAUCGUGUAUCCCAGUGGCAAGGUGUAUGUGGCAGCUGUGCGCCUGGAGCGUGUGGUGCUGACCUGUGAGCUGUGCCGGCCUUGGGCGGAGGUGCGCUGGACCAAGGACGGAGAGGAGGUGGUGGAGAGCCCCGCGCUGCUCCUGCAGAAGGAAGACACCAUCCGCCGCCUGGUGCUGCCUGCCGUCCAGCUCGAGGACUCCGGCGAGUACUUGUGUGAAAUCGACGAUGAGUCAGCCUCCUUCACUGUCACCGUCACAGAACCCCCAGUGCGGAUCCUAUACCCCCGGGAUGAGGUGGCCUUGAUCGCUGUGACCUUGGAGUGUGUGGUGCUGAUGUGCGAGCUAUCUCGGGAGGAUGCCCCUGUGCGCUGGUACAAGGACGGGCUGGAAGUGGAGGAGAGCGAGGCCCUGGUGUUGGAGAGGGACGGGCCACGCUGCCGCCUGGUACUACCUGCUGCCCAGCCUGAGGAUGGGGGAGAGUUCGUAUGCGAUGCUGGAGAUGACUCAGCCUUCUUCACUGUCACUGUCACAGCCCCGCCAGAGAGGAUUGUGCAUCCAGCAGCCCGAUCCCUGGAUCUGCAUUUUGGGGCUCCCGGGCGCGUGGAGCUGCGCUGUGAGGUGGCCCCAGCUGGGUCUCAGGUGCGCUGGUACAAGGACGGGCUGGAAGUGGAGGCAUCAGACGCCCUGCAGCUGGGUGCCAAGGGGUCCACCCGCACCCUGACCCUGCCCCACGCCCAGCCUGAGGACGCCGGGGAGUAUGUGUGUGAGACCCGAGAUGAGGCCAUCACCUUCAAUGUCAUCCUGGCUGAGCCCCCAGUGCAGUUCCUUGCUCCAGAGAGAGCCCCGAGCCCGCUCUGUGUGGCUCCCGGGGAGCCAGUGGUGCUGAGCUGUGAACUGUCCCGGGCUGGUGCCCCUGUGAUCUGGAGCCACAAUGGGAAGCCCGUGCAGGAGGGAGAGGGCUUAGAGUUCCAUGCUGAGGGCCCCCGCCGAGUCCUCUGCAUCCAGGCUGCAGGCCCAGCCCAUGCAGGGCUCUACACCUGCCAGUCUGGAGCAGCCCCAGGAGCCCCGAGCCUCAGCUUCACCGUCCAGGUGGCUGAGCCCCCUGUGCGGGUGGUGGCUCCCGAGGCAGCCCAGACGAGAGUUCGGAGCACCCCAGGCGGGGACCUCGAGCUGGUGGUGCACCUCUCUGGGCCCGGGGGCCCUGUGCGCUGGUACAAGGACGGGGAGCGACUGGCAAGCCAGGGGCGGGUGCAGCUGGAGCAGGCCGGGGCCAGGCAGGUGCUGCGGGUGCAGGGGGCACGGAGUGGGGACGCUGGGGAGUACCUGUGCGACGCGCCCCAGGACAGCCGCAUCUUCCUCGUCAGCGUGGAAGAGCCGCUGCCGGUGAAGCUGGUCUCGGAGCUGACACCACUUACUGUCCAUGAGGGCGAUGAUGCCACGUUCCGGUGUGAAGUCUCCCCACCAGAUGCCGAUGUCACCUGGCUGCGCAAUGGAGCCGUCAUCACUCCGGGGCCCCAGGUGGAGAUGGCCCAGAACGGUUCAAGCCGCACCUUGACCCUGCGAGGCUGCCAGCUGGGGGAUGCGGGGACCGUGACUGUGCGUGCAGGGAGCACAGCCACAAGUGCCCGGCUCCAUGUUCGAGAGACAGAGCUGCUAUUCCUACGGCGGCUGCAGGACGUGCGGGCAGAGGAAGGCCAGGACGUGUGUUUCGAAGUGGAGACAGGCCGAGUGGGUGCAGUGGGAGCCGUGCGCUGGGUGCGAGGUGGGCAGCCCCUGCCCCACGACUCUCGCCUGUCUAUGGCCCAGGAUGAGCACAUCCACCGCCUCUUCAUCCAUGGUGUUGUACUGGCUGACCAGGGCACCUACGGCUGCGAGAGCCACCACGAUCGCACCCUGGCCAGGCUCAGCGUGAGGCCGAGGCAGCUGAGGGUGCUGCGGCCUCUGGAGGACGUAACCAUCAGUGAGGGUGGCAGUGCCACCUUCCAGCUGGAGCUGUCCCAGGAAGGUGUGACCGGGGAGUGGGCCCGGGGUGGAGUCCGGCUGCAUCCGGGGCCCAAGUGCCACAUCCACUCGGAGGGCCAGAGUCACCAAUUGGUACUCAGCGGCCUAGGCCUGGCCGACUCAGGCUGUGUCUCCUUCACGGCGGAUUCCCUGCGCUGCGCAGCCAGACUCGUUGUGAGAGGUGUGGGUGCCAAGACCACAGCCUGCCUGCUGACCUAUGUGGCCCUACUCACCCCAGAGGUCCCAGUGACCAUCGUUCGGGGGCCACAGGACCUAGAGGUGACCGAGGGCGACACAGCUACGUUCGAGUGCGAGCUUUCCCAAGCUUUGGCUGAUGUUACCUGGGAGAAGGACGGGCGCGCGCUCACUCCAAGCCCGCGGCUCCGGCUCCAGGCCCUCGGCACGCGCCGCCUUCUCCAGCUGCGGCGCUGCAGCCCCUCGGACGCCGGGACCUACAGCUGCGCGUUGGGAACGGCCCGCGUUGGGCCGGUCCGCCUGACCGUGCGCGCCCGCACAGUGGCGGUGCUCUCAGAGCUGCUGUCGGUGAGAGCCCGCGAAGGCGGCGGCGCUACGUUCGAGUGCACCGUGUCGGAGGCCGAGACCACGGGGCGCUGGGAGCUCGGAGGCCGCCCGCUGAGACCCGGAGCCCGCGUCCGCAUCCGACAAGAAGGGGCCUGCUGCGGCCCCACCCUCGUCCCCAGCGCUCCUCUGAGGUGGCUCCGGCCUCGCUAGCGACCCCGUCACCCCCAGGGAAGAAACACAUUCUGGUGCUGAGCGAGCUGCGCGCCGAGGACGCCGGUGAAGUCCGCUUCCAGGCGGGGCCCGCCCAGUCCUUGGCUCUGCUGGAAGUGGAGGCAUUGCCUCUCCAGAUGUGCCGCCGCCCCCCUCGCGAGAAGACCAUUCUGGUGGGCCGCCGGGCCGUGCUGGAAGUGACUGUGUCCCGCUCGGGGGGCCACGUGUGCUGGUUGCGGGAGGGGGCCGAGCUGUGCCCGGGAGAUAAGUAUGAGAUGCGCAGCCACGGCCCCACCCACAGCCUGGUCAUCCAUGACGUUCGACCUGAGGACCAGGGCACCUACUGCUGCCAGGCCGGCCAGGACAGCGCCCACACACGGCUGCUGGUAGAGGGUAACUAGGAGGACCGAACCAGGCCAGGCAGGUGCCCUUGGACAGCUUGGAAGGCGUGUGCCCUUACCCUGGGCAGGGGAGGAGAGACAGGGAAAUCAGAGGUGUCAGGAAACAAUAAAAGUGCUACAGCUCA